UGGGAAUAUUGCACAAUGGGCGCAAGCCUGAUGCAGCCAUGCCGCGUGUGUGAAGAAGGCCUUCGGGUUGUAAAGCACUUUCAGCGAGGAGGAAGGUGGUGGACUUAAUACGUUCAUCAAUUGACGUUACUCGCAGAAGAAGCACCGGCUAACUCCGUGCCAGCAGCCGCGGUAAUACGGAGGGUGCAAGCGUUAAUCGGAAUUACUGGGCGUAAAGCGCACGCAGGCGGUUUGUUAAGUCAGAUGUGAAAUCCCCGGGCUCAACCUGGAACUGCAUUUGAAAACUGGCAAGCUAGAGUCUCGUAGAGGGGGGUAGAAUUCCAGGUGUAGCGGUGAAAUGCGUAGAGAUCUGGAGGAAUACCGGUGGCGAAAGGCGGCCCCCUGGA
rnacentral:rRNA from 1 species